rnacentral:rRNA from 1 species
CCUACGGGUGGCAGCAGUGGGGAAUAUUGGACAAUGGGGGCAACCCUGAUCCAGUCAUGCCGCGUGUGUGAAGAAGGCCCUCGGGUUGUAAAGCACUUUCAGUGAGGAAGAACGCCUGGUGGUUAAUACCCAUCAGGAAAGACAUCACUCACAGAAGAAGCACCGGCUAACUCCGUGCCAGCAGCCGCGGUAAUACGGAGGGUGCGAGCGUUAAUCGGAAUUACUGGGCGUAAAGCGCGCGUAGGUGGCUUGAUAAGCCGGUUGUGAAAGCCCCGGGCUCAACCUGGGAACGGCAUCCGGAACUGUCAAGCUAGAGUGCAGGAGAGGAAGGUAGAAUUCCCGGUGUAGCGGUGAAAUGCGUAGAGAUCGGGAGGAAUACCAGUGGCGAAGGCGGCCUUCUGGACUGACACUGACACUGAGGUGCGAAAGCGUGGGUAGCAAACAGGAUUAGAUACCCGAGUAGUC